CCUACGGGAGGCAGCAGUGAGGAAUAUUGGUCAAUGGACGAGAGUCUGAACCAGCCAAGUAGCGUGAAGGAUGACUGCCCUAUGGGUUGUAAACCUCUUUUAUAUGGGAAUAAAAUGUUCCACGUGUGGGAUUUUGUAUGUACCAUAUGAAUAAGGAUCGGCUAACUCCGUGCCAGCAGCCGCGGUAAUCCGGAGGAUCCGAGCGUUAUCCGGAUUUUUUGGGUUUAAAGGGAGCGUAGGUGGAUUGUUAAGUCAGUUGUGAAAGUUUGCGGCUCAACCGUAAAAUUGCAGUUGAAACUGGCAGUCUUGAGUACAGUAGAGGUGGGCGGAAUUCGUGGUGUAGCGGUGAAAUGCUUAGAUAUCACGAAGAACUCCGAUUGCGAAGGCAGCUCACUGGACUGCAACUGACACUGAGGCUCGAAAGUGUGGGUAUCAAACAGGAUUAGAUACCCCUGUAGUC
rnacentral:rRNA from 1 species